AUCGCUUCUCGACCUUUUGGCUAAGAUCAAGUGUAGUAUCUGUUCUUAUCAGUUUAAAUAGAUUGACAACCUAGGUGUUCUCGUAAAGCUUUUUGCAUUAUUCAUAUUUGGCAGGGCUUCAAUCAUCCUAACACUGGGAUUGAUCCUAGGUAAUGAAAAAGCAACUUUUCAUAUGCCACAGAACGUAA